rnacentral:rRNA from 1 species
GUUAGGAAUCUUCCACAAUGGGGGCAACCCUGAUGGAGCAACACCGCGUGCUGGAUGAAGGCCUUCGGGUCGUAAACAGCUUUUGUAUACGAAGAAUAUGACGGUAAUAUACGAAUAAGGGUCGGCUAACUACGUGCCAGCAGCCGCGGUCAUACGUAGGACCCAAGCGUUAUCCGGAGUGACUGGGCGUAAAGAGUUGCGUAGGCGGCUUAUUAAGCGAGUAGUGAAAUCUGGUGGCUCAACCAUCAACACAUUGCUCGAACUGAUAGGCUUGAGAAUGGUAGAGGUAGUUGGAAUUUCUUGUGUAGGAGUGAAAUCCGUAGAUAUAAGAAGGAACACCAAUGGCGUAGGCAGACUACUGGACCAUUUCUGACGCUGAGGCACGAAAGCGUGGGGAGCGAACCGGAUUAGAAACCCCUGUAGUCU